rnacentral:rRNA from 1 species
CCUACGGGAGGCAGCAGUGAGGAAUAUUGGUCAAUGGACGAGAGUCUGGACCAGCCAAGUCGCGUGAAGGAUGACUGCCCUAUGGGUUGUAAACUUCUUUUAUAUGGGAAUAAAAUGUUACACGUGUGGGAUUUUGUAUGUACCAUAUGAAUAAGGAUCGGCUAACUCCGUGCCAGCAGCCGCGGUAAUACGGAGGAUCCGAGCGUUAUCCGGGUUUAUUGGGUUUAAAGGGAGCGUAGGUGGGUUGUUAAGUCAGUUGUGAAAGUUUGCGGCUCAACCGUAAAAUUGCAGUUGAAACUGGCAGUCUUGAGUACAGUAGAGGUAGGCGGAAUUCGUGGUGUAGCGGUGAAAUGCUUAGAUAUCACGAAGAACACCGAUUGCGAAGGCAGUUCACUGGACUGCAACUGACGCUGAGGCUCGAAAGUGUGGGUAUCAAACAGGAUUAGAUACCCUAGUAGUC